UGCAGUCGAGCGGACAGAUGGGAGCUUGCUCCCUGAUGUUAGCGGCGGACGGGUGAGUAACACGUGGGUAACCUGCCUGUAAGACUGGGAUAACUCCGGGAAACCGGGGCUAAUACCGGAUGGUUGUCUGAACCGCAUGGUUCAGACAUAAAAGGUGGCUUCGGCUACCACUUACAGAUGGACCCGCGGCGCAUUAGCUAGUUGGUGAGGUAACGGCUCACCAAGGCGACGAUGCGUAGCCGACCUGAGAGGGUGAUCGGCCACACUGGGACUGAGACACGGCCCAGACUCCUACGGGAGGCAGCAGUAGGGAAUCUUCCGCAAUGGACGAAAGUCUGACGGAGCAACGCCGCGUGAGUGAUGAAGGUUUUCGGAUCGUAAAGCUCUGUUGUUAGGGAAGAACAAGUGCCGUUCAAAUAGGGCGGCACCUUGACGGUACCUAACCAGAAAGCCACGGCUAACUACGUGCCAGCAGCCGCGGUAAUACGUAGGUGGCAAGCGUUGUCCGGAAUUAUUGGGCGUAAAGGGCUCGCAGGCGGUUUCUUAAGUCUGAUGUGAAAGCCCCCGGCUCAACCGGGGAGGGUCAUUGGAAACUGGGGAACUUGAGUGCAGAAGAGGAGAGUGGAAUUCCACGUGUAGCGGUGAAAUGCG
rnacentral:rRNA from 1 species